AAACGAUGUCAACUAGCUGUGGGGCCUUCGGCCCUUGGUAGCGCAGCUAACGCGUGAAGUUGACCGCCUGGGGAGUACGGUCGCAAGAUUAAAACUCAAAGGAAUUGACGGGGACCCGCACAAGCGGUGGAUGAUGUGGAUUAAUUCGAUGCAACGCGAAAAACCUUACCUACCCUUGACAUGUCUGGAAUGCCGAAGAGAUUUGGCAGUGUCGCAAGAAACCGGAACACAGGUGCUGCAUGGCUGUCGUCAGCUCGUGUCGUGAGAUGUUGGGUUAAGUCCCGCAACGAGCGCAACCCUUGUCAUUAGUUGCUACGAAAGGGCACUCUAAUGAGACUGCCGGUGACAAACCGGAGGAAGGUGGGGAUGACGUCAAGUCCUCAUGGCCCUUAUGGGUAGGGCUUCACACGUCAUACAAUGGUCGGGACAGAGGGUCGCCAACCCGCGAGGGGGAGCCAAUCCCAGAAACCCGAUCGUAGUCCGGAUCGCAGUCUGCAACUCGACUGCGUGAAGUCGGAAUCGCUAGUAAUCGCGGAUCAGCAUGUCGCGGUGAAUACGUUCCCGGGUCUUGUACACACCGCCCGUCACACCAUGGGAGUGGGUUUUACCAGAAGUAGUUAGCCUAACCGCAAGGGGGGCGAUUACCACGGUAGGAUUCAUGACUGGGGUGAAGUCGUAACAAGGUAACCAAGGGCGAAUUCUG
rnacentral:rRNA from 1 species